UAAAUAACAUAAAAGAUCACAACCAAAGAGGAAUGUUCUUAAAAUUUCGUGUAAGUAACCAUAAACUAGAAAUUGAGUUCGGUCGCUGUAAAAACGUAUAUAAACAGGGAAGAGAGAUUUUGUAAAUACUUCGAUAAACGUACAGUUGAAGACGAAUUUCACUUUGCAUUCGAAUGUAAUAAAUACGAGAGUUUGCGAAAUAACUCGCACAACAUCCUGAAAGACUAUUUCCAAAUGAGGGUCACUGGUGAAGUAAAGAGAAAAUUAUUAAGUGAUCUUAUGUCAUUGAAUGACUUAGUUUGUGAUAAUGGGUCUAUUUUCGAAGCAUAUUUCGAAAUGUUUUUAUAUCAGAGACAACAACCCUUAAACCAGAAGUUUCUAUAUAUUAUAUUACUUUCCUUUUUUAUAUACUCUUUCUAAUCCUUUCUGUUCUUAAAUUUUUAUAUUUGUCAUUUUUCUUUCGUAUUUGAUAUUUUUACUCUUUUACAUUUAAUAUUAUACAUGUAAAUAGCAGUAUAUUGUUGUUUUUCGUUAGUUAAAGUAGUUUUUAUACUAGUUAACUUUUAUAUAUUUACGAUUACGCUUA